CAGCCCAUCACGACGAUUGGCAACUCGCGGGUGUCGUCCGAUGAAAUGUCGACAGCAUACCAGCCAUGAUCUCAGAGCGUCACUUCUGUUUCAAGUACAUGGCCAGAAAUGAAACGACGCAGGAGCGCGCGGGAGGGAAUGUGCAGGUGGCUCUUUUAUCGAAGGUGCAAGAGAGCACAAAGCAUACGUCGUCAGCUCUUCUUUAGUGGAAGCGAGCAAAAGAGCACCAGGCAUUCUUUUUUUCUGACAGAAACAAGCUGAAAGGGAAAAGUGUGCUAUGAUGCCUGGUGAGUGCAACCAGUAGAGGUACGGCAACCGUCGGUGGCUGGGCUGCGACUCGCAGCCAGCGAUAAACGAAAUCGGCCCCCAUAUGCUUAUGAGAUAUCACCUGUUUCCGAAGCUCGAAACGACAAUGUGUAGGAAAUAUCGGCACCACGAGUGUUGCCACGAAAAAAGAUGGAAACACAGCGAAACUAAUGUGAAGCGUGCCCGCAAGUGAUGGGGCCACAGAGACCACUCUUCUUGUUAUGUUUUCCGAAUGCAGACCAGAGAAAGGGAUCUCGACAUUGCCAUCUGGAUGUCUUUUCUCACACUGUGGUGUGGCAUGCCUUCGUCGCUCACUGUCGAUUUCUGUAAAAGACGGUCCUCGAUGUUCGCCUGCUGUUCUUACCGCACUGAUGUUGCGCACCUGACCGCGGAAGCUGAAAUUGAAACCCCUGAGACAAACCCUCCCAA
rnacentral:lncRNA from 1 species